UAGGCGGUUUGUCGCGUCGGGAGUGAAAACCUCAUGCUUAACAUGUGGCUUGCAUCCGAUACGGGCAGACUGGAGGUAUGCAGGGGAGAAUGGAAUUCCUGGUGUAGCGGUGAAAUGCGCAGAUAUCAGGAGGAACACCGGUGGCGAAGGCGGUUCUCUGGGCAUUACCUGACGCUGAGGAGCGAAAGUGUGGGGAGCGAACAGGAUUAGAUACCCUGGUAGUCCACACCGUAAACGUUGGGCGCUAGGUGUGGGAUCCAUUCCACGGGUUCCGUGCCGCAGCUAACGCAUUAAGCGCCCCGCCUGGGGAGUACGGCCGCAAGGCUAAAACUCAAAGGAAUUGACGGGGGCCCGCACAAGCGGCGGAGCAUGCGGAUUAAUUCGAUGCAACGCGAAGAACCUUACCUGGGUUUGACAUACGCCGGAAAGCUGCAGAGAUGUGGCCUCCUUUUGGCCGGUGUACAGGUGGUGCAUGGCUGUCGUCAGCUCGUGUCGUGGGAUGUUGGGUUAAGUCCCGCAACGAGCGCAACCCUCGUCCUAUGUUGCCAGCACGUCCUUCGGGGUGGUGGGGACUCAUAGGAGACUGCCGGGGUCAACUCGGAGGAAGGUGGGGAUGACGUCAAGUCAUCAUGCCCCUUAUGUCCAGGGCUUCACGCAUGCUACAAUGGCCGGUACAAAGGGCUGCGAUCCCGUGAGGGGGAGCGAAUCCCAAAAAGCCGGUCUCAGUUCGGAUUGGGGUCUGCAACUCGACCCCAUGAAGUCGGAGUCGCU
rnacentral:rRNA from 1 species